rnacentral:lncRNA from 1 species
CAAAAAACAAAAUCGGGGUAACAAACUAAAACCGAGGGAAACGCAUUAAAUAUAAGAGGAGAACAACGAUAUAACACCGAAACGUAACACACACAGAAACGGACCAAGCAUCAGACAAAACACCACGAGAAUAACAAAUAUAACAUGAAAACCAAAUACAUGAAUUUGGGAUAGACAAGAACCGUGCCACGUCUGAUCUCAAUUUCUCAAAAAUAAGAGAAAACACAAACGACUCAACGUUAAAAUGCAAC